UUGAACGCUGGCGGCAGGCCUAACACAUGCAAGUCGAACGGUAACAGGAAGAAGCUUGCUUCUUUGCUGACGAGUGGCGGACGGGUGAGUAAUGUCUGGGAAACUGCCUGAUGGAGGGGGAUAACUACUGGAAACGGUAGCUAAUACCGCAUAACGUCGCAAGACCAAAGAGGGGGACCUUCGGGCCUCUUGCCAUCGGAUGUGCCCAGAUGGGAUUAGCUAGUAGGUGGGGUAACGGCUCACCUAGGCGACGAUCCCUAGCUGGUCUGAGAGGAUGACCAGCCACACUGGAACUGAGACACGGUCCAGACUCCUACGGGAGGCAGCAGUGGGGAAUAUUGCACAAUGGGCGCAAGCCUGAUGCAGCCAUGCCGCGUGUAUGAAGAAGGCCUUCGGGUUGUAAAGUACUUUCAGCGGGGAGGAAGGGAGUAAAGUUAAUACCUUUGCUCAUUGACGUUACCCGCAGAAGAAGCACCGGCUAACUCCGUGCCAGCAGCCGCGGUAAUACGGAGGGUGCAAGCGUUAAUCGGAAUUACUGGGCGUAAAGCGCACGCAGGCGGUUUGUUAAGUCAGAUGUGAAAUCCCCGGGCUCAACCUGGGAACUGCAUCUGAUACUGGCAAGCUUGAGUCUCGUAGAGGGGGGUAGAAUUCCAGGUGUAGCGGUGAAAUGCGUAGAGAUCUGGAGGAAUACCGGUGGCGAAGGCGGCCCCCUGGACGAAGACUGACGCUCAGGUGCGAAAGCGUGGGGAGCAAACAGGAUUAGAUACCCUGGUAGUCCACGCCGUAAACGAUGUCGACUUGGAGGUUGUGCCCUUGAGGCGUGGCUUCCGGAGCUAACGCGUUAAGUCGACCGCCUGGGGAGUACGGCCGCAAGGUUAAAACUCAAAUGAAUUGACGGGGGCCCGCACAAGCGGUGGAGCAUGUGGUUUAAUUCGAUGCAACGCGAAGAACCUUACCUGGUCUUGACAUCCACGGAAGUUUUCAGAGAUGAGAAUGUGCCUUCGGGAACCGUGAGACAGGUGCUGCAUGGCUGUCGUCAGCUCGUGUUGUGAAAUGUUGGGUUAAGUCCCGCAACGAGCGCAACCCUUAUCCUUUGUUGCCAGCGGUCCGGCCGGGAACUCAAAGGAGACUGCCAGUGAUAAACUGGAGGAAGGUGGGGAUGACGUCAAAUCAUCAUGCCCUUUAUGUCCUGGGCUACACACGUACUACAAUGGCUGUAACAGAGGGAAGCGAACCAGUGAUGGUAAGCGAAACCCGAAAAGCAGUCACAGUUCGGAUUGAAGGCUGAAACUCGCCUUCAUGAAGCCGGAAUUGCUAGUAAUGGCAGGUCAGCAUACUGCCGUGAAUACGUUCCCGGGCCUUGUACACACCGCCCGUCACACCAUGAGAGUUGGGGAUACCCGAAGCCUGUGAGCCAACAGUUAAAUGGGGCAGCAGUCGAAGGUAGAAUCAAUGAUUGGGGUG
rnacentral:rRNA from 1 species